rnacentral:rRNA from 2 species
AGUGAGCGGCAAAAGCUCAAAUUUGAAAUCUAGCACCUUCGGUGUUCGAGUUGUAAUUUGAAGAUGGUAACCUUGGGUUUGGCUCUUGUCUAUGUUCCUUGGAACAGGACGUCAUAGAGGGUGAGAAUCCCGUCUGAUGAGAUGCCCAUUCCUAUGUAAGGUGCUAUCGAAGAGUCGAGUUGUUUGGGAAUGCAGCUCUAAGUGGGUGGUAAAUUCCAUCUAAAGCUAAAUAUUGGCGAGAGACCGAUAGCGAACAAGUACAGUGAUGGAAAGAUGAAAAGAACUUUGAAAAGAGAGUGAAAAAGUACGUGAAAUUGUUGAAAGGGAAGGGCAUUAGAUCAGACUUGGUGUUUUACGAUUAUCUUCUCUUCUUGAGUUGUGCACUCGUAUUUCACUGGGCCAGCAUCGAUUCGGAUGGCAAGAUAAUGGCAGUUGAAUGUGGCUUCACUUCGGUGGAGUGUUAUAGCUUCUGCUGAUAUUGCCUGUCUGGAUCGAGGGCUGCGUCUUUUGACUAGGAUGCUGGCGUAAUGAUCUAAUGCCGCCCGUCUU